rnacentral:rRNA from 1 species
AUUGAACGCUGGCGGCUUGCUUUACACAUGCAAGUCGAACGGUAACAGGGUGCUUGCACCGCUGACGAGUGGCGAACGGGUGAGUAAUGCGUCGGAACGUGCCGAGUAGUGGGGGAUAACGCAGCGAAAGUUGUGCUAAUACCGCAUACGUACUGAGGUAGAAAGUGGGGGACCUUCGGGCCUCACGCUAUUCGAGCGGCCGACGUCUGAUUAGCUAGUAGGUGAGGUAAAGGCUCACCUAGGCGACGAUCAGUAGCGGGUCUGAGAGGAUGAUCCGCCAGACUGGGACUGAGACACGGCCCAGACUCCUACGGGAGGCAGCAGUGGGGAAUUUUGGACAAUGGGCGAAAGCCUGAUCCAGCCAUGCCGCGUGUCUGAAGAAGGCCUUCGGGUUGUAAAGGGCUUUUGUCAGGGAGGAAAUCCCUAGUGCUAAUAACACUGGGGGAUGACAGUACCUGAAGAAUAAGCACCGGCUAACUACGUGCCAGCCGCCGCCGUAA